GAAAUGCGAUAAGUAAUGUGAAUUGCAGAAUUCAGUGAAUCAUCGAAUCGUUGAACGCACCUUGCGCUCCUUGGUAUUCCUUGGAGCAUGCCUGUUUGAGUAUCAUGAAAUCUUCAAAGUAAAUCUGUUGUUAACUCAAUUGGUUUCUACUUUGGUAUUGGAGGUCUUUGCAGCUUCACACCUGCUCCUCUUUGUUCAUUAGCUGGAUCUCAGUGUUAUGCUUGGUUCCACUCGGCGUGAUAAGUUAUCUAUCGCUGAGGACACUGUAAAAGGUGGCCAAGGUAAAUGCAGAUGAACCGCUUCUAAUAGUCCAUUGACUUGGACAAUACUUUUAUGAUCUGAUCUCAAAUCAGGUAGGACUACCCGCUGAACUUAAGC
rnacentral:misc_RNA from 1 species